GACGAACGCUGGCGGCGUGCUUAACACAUGCAAGUCGAACGGAAAGGCCCAGCUUUUGUGGGGUGCUCGAGUGGCGAACGGGUGAGUAACACGUGAGUAACCUGCCCUUGACUUUGGGAUAACUUCAGGAAACUGGGGCUAAUACCGGAUAGGAGCUCCUGCUGCAUGGUGGGGGUUGGAAAGUUUCGGCGGUUGGGGAUGGACUCGCGGCUUAUCAGCUUGUUGGUGGGGUAGUGGCUUACCAAGGCUUUGACGGGUAGCCGGCCUGAGAGGGUGACCGGCCACAUUGGGACUGAGAUACGACCCAGACUCGUACAGGAGGCAGCAGUGCAGAAUAUUACACAAUGGGCGGAAGCCUGAUGCAGCAACGCCGCGUGCGGGAUGACGGCCUUCGGGUUGUAAACCGCUUUCGCCUGUGACGAAGCGUGAGUGACGGUAAUGGGUAAAGAAGCACCGGCUAACUACGUG
rnacentral:rRNA from 1 species